rnacentral:rRNA from 1 species
GACGAACGCUGGCGGCGUGCUUAACACAUGCAAGUCGAACGGAAAGGCCCUGCUUUUGUGGGGUGCUCGAGUGGCGAACGGGUGAGUAACACGUGAGUAACCUGCCCUUGACUUUGGGAUAACUUCAGGAAACUGGGGCUAAUACCGGAUAGUAGCUCCUGCUGCUUGGGUGGGGUUGGAAAGUUUCGGCGGUUGGGGAUGGACUCGCGGGUUAUCAGCUUGUUGGUGGGGUAGUGGCUUACCAAGGCUUGGACGGGUAGCCGGCCUGAGAGGGGGACCGGCCACAGUGGGACUGAGAUACGGCCCAGAGUACUACGGGAGGCAGCAGUGGGGAAUAUUGCACAAUGGGCGGAAGCCUGAUGCAGCAACGCCGCGUGCGGGAUGGCGGACUUCGGGUUGUAAACCGCUUUCGCAUGUGACGAAGCGUGAGUGACGGUAAUGGGUAAAGAAGCACCGGCUAACUACGUG